rnacentral:rRNA from 1 species
AUUGAACGCUGGCGGCAGGCCUAACACAUGCAAGUCGAACGGUAACAGGAAGCAGCUUGCUGCUUUGCUGACGAGUGGCGGACGGGUGAGUAAUGUCUGGGAAACUGCCUGAUGGAGGGGGAUAACUACUGGAAACGGUAGCUAAUACCGCAUAACGUCGCAAGACCAAAGAGGGGGACCUUCGGGCCUCUUGCCAUCGGAUGUGCCCAGAUGGGAUUAGCUAGUAGGUGGGGUAACGGCUCACCUAGGCGACGAUCCCUAGCUGGUCUGAGAGGAUGACCAGCCACACUGGAACUGAGACACGGUCCAGACUCCUACGGGAGGCAGCAGUGGGGAAUAUUGCACAAUGGGCGCAAGCCUGAUGCAGCCAUGCCGCGUGUAUGAAGAAGGCCUUCGGGUUGUAAAGUACAUUCAGCGGGGAGGAAGGGAGUAAAGUUAAUACCUUUGCUCAUUGACGUUACCCGCAGAAGAAGCACCGGCUAACUCCGUG